rnacentral:rRNA from 1 species
GACGAACGCUGGCGGCGUGCCUAAUACAUGCAAGUAGAACGCAGUUGCGAACGGGUGAGUAACGCGUAGGUAACUGCCUCAUAGCGGGGGAUAACUCUUGGAAACGAUAGCUAAUCCCGACUACUGUGAGAUGGAACUGCGUUGUAUGAGCGUGUUGGUGAGGUAAAGGUUCACCAAGGCGACGAUACAUAGCCGACCUGAGCAGGUGAUCGGACCCACGGGGACUGAGACACGGCCCAGACUCCUACGGGAGGCAGCAGUAGGGAAUCUGCGGCAAUGGACGGAAGUCUGACCGAGCAACGCCGCGUGAGUGAAGAAGGUUUUCGGAUCGUAAAGCUCUGUUGUUAGAGAAGCGGUACCUAACCAGAAAGGGACGGCUAACUACGUGCCAGCCGCCGCGGUAAUAC